GUCUCCGGUAAUGAUAAAAAAUGGAAACUUUCAUUCUUCCGAUGCGCUUUCUCAUGGUGUGUUGCAGAAGCAAUCUAGAGACCUGAACUGAAGGGAC